rnacentral:rRNA from 1 species
GACGAACGCUGGCGGCGUGCUUAACACAUGCAAGUCGAACGGAACUCUUUGGAUCGAGACUUCGGUCAAGUGAAUCUGAGUUUAGUGGCGGACGGGUGAGUAACGCGUGAGGAACCUGCCUUUCAGAGGGGGACAACAGUUGGAAACGACUGCUAAUACCGCAUAAUGCAUAGAGAUCGCAUGGUCUAUAUGCCAAAGAUUUAUCGCUGAAAGAUGGCCUCGCGUCUGAUUAGCUAGUUGGUGAGGUAACGGCCCACCAAGGCGACGAUCAGUAGCCGGACUGAGAGGUUGAUCGGCCACAUUGGGACUGAGACACGGCCCAGACUCCUACGGGAGGCGAG